rnacentral:rRNA from 1 species
AACGAACGCUGGCGGCGUGGCUAAGGCAUGCAAGUCGUACGGACCACAUGGAAGGUAACGGAAGUGUGGUUAGUGGCGGACGGGUGAGUAAUGCAUGGGUAACGUACCCCGCGCACAGGGAUAGCGGCGCCCUUCGGGGCUUUAGCGAAAGUGCCGGUAAUACCUGAUGACAUCCGGAGGCUGCAUGGUCUCUGGAUCAAAGGUGGGGACCCUUCGGGGCCUGCUGGAGUGGGAUCGGCCCAUGUCCUAUCAGCUUGUUGGUGGGGUAACGGCCUACCAAGGCGGCGACGGGUAGCCGGCGUGAGAGCGCGACCGGCCACAUCGGGACUGAGACACUGCCCGGACACCUGCGGGUGGCUGCAGCAACGAAUAUUCCGCAAUGGGCGAAAGCCUGACGGAGCGACGCCGCGUGAAGGAUGAAGUCCCUCGGGAUGUAAACCUCAAUAGUUUGUCCGGAAGCAAACCGGCUCAACAGGCCGGGGCGG